rnacentral:rRNA from 1 species
UACGUAGGUGGCGAGCGUUAUCCGGAUUUAUUGGGUUUAAAGGGUGCGUAGGCUGUGAGGUAAGUCAGCGGUGAAAUGCCCCCGCUCAACGGGGUGAAGUGCCAUUGAUACUGCCUUGCUGGAAUGCGGAUGCCGUGGGAGGAAUGUGUGGUGUAGCGGUGAAAUGCAUAGAUAUCACACAGAACACCGAUUGCGAAGGCAUCUCACGAAUCCGCUAUUGACGCUGAUGCACGAAAGCGUGGGUAUCAAACAGG